AAAUGAAUAGACGGGGACCCGCACAAGCAGCGGAGCAUGUGGUUUAAUUCGAAGCAACGCGAAGAACCUUACCAGGGCUUGACAUCCCUCUGACAGGUGGGUAAUGCCACCCUCCCUUCGGGGCAGAGGUGACAGGUGGUGCAUGGUUGUCGUCAGCUCGUGUCGUGAGAUGUUGGGUUAAGUCCCGCAACGAGCGCAACCCUUGUCAUUAGUUGCCAUCAGGUAAAGCUGGGCACUCUAAUGAGACCGCCGGGGAUAACUCGGAGGAAGGUGGGGAUGACGUCAAAUCAUCAUGCCCCUUAUGUUCUGGGCUACACACGUGCUACAAUGGCCGGUACAGAGAGAGGCGAACCCGCAAGGGGGAGCAAAACUCCAAAACCGGUCCCAGUUCGGAUUGCAGGCUGAAACUCGCCUGCAUGAAGUCGGAGUUGCUAGUAAUCGCGAAUCAGCAUGUCGCGGUGAAUGCGUUCCCGGGUCUUGUACACACCGCCCGU
rnacentral:rRNA from 1 species